UGUAAAAUAUACUGCAGUAUUAGUGUCUGUCUGAGUGAUUCUAGAAUCAGUGGUAGCACUGACAGGUAGUCCCCUAGGAAGACUUAAGUGACUAAACUUCGCAGACCCAAUAGGGGUUUGGUGGGCCUUCAGAAGUCUAAACGUAGCUCUGUUGGUGAGAGUCUCUUUGAUAUGAUGUAUCCCUGUCAUGUGAUUGUGGCUAAAUGUUGAGGUUAGCCACAUGAAUCUAAUCUCCCAAGUCUAAACGUAGCAAAGCGAGAUUAGAUUAUUUUGUUUUAGUGUCUUAAUUUCACCCAGUCUAAACGUAGCAAGGUGAAGUUAAGUUGUCUUGUAUUAAUUGGCUAAAUGUUGAGGUUAGCCACAUGAAUCUAAUCUCCCAAAUCUAAACGUAGGAAAGUGAGAUUAGAUUAUUUUGUUUUAUUGUCUUAAUUUCACCCAGUCUAAACGUAGCAAGGUGAAGUUAAGUUGUCUUGUAUUAACUGUUUAAACUCAUAGGUUAAACGUAGCACUUGAGUAAGAUGUAUUGUGUUAAAAUUGUAUAACUGUGUGUAUAUGGUUUAAAUUUUGAUAAACUGUGACAUCAUUUGAGAAGAGAUUUUUGUGUAAACUCCAGUUGUCAGUCAGUAUACAGACUGAAAAUUGUGACCUUUCGAUCUCUCAAAAGGUGAUACAGUGAGUGUAUACAUUUGGUGUUUCAAAGUACAAGUAACAGAAAUGAGGUUGAAUCAUGGCAAGCAGCUUGAUCAUGGGGAUAGUAUACCCAGUGAUUCCCCAGUUUAUUUAAUGAAACCGAAAUAUG